CCUACGGGUGGCAGCAGUGAGGAAUAUUGGUCAAUGGGCGAGAGCCUGAACCAGCCAAGUCGCGUGAGGGAGUACUGCCCUAUGGGUUGUAAACCUCUUUUGUCGGGGAGCAAAAGCCGGACGUGUCCGGCUGUGAGAGUACCCGAAGAAAAAGCAUCGGCUAACUCCGUGCCAGCAGCCGCGGUAAUACGGAGGAUGCGAGCGUUAUCCGGAUUUAUUGGGUGUAAAGGGAGCGUAGACGGCGCUGCAAGUCCGGAGUGAAAGCCCAUGGCUUAACCAUGGUACUGCUCUGGAAACUGUGGAGCUUGAGUGCGGGAGGGGCAGGCGGAAGUCCUAGUGUAGCGGUGAAAUGCGUAGAUAUUAGGAGGAACACCGGCGGCGAAGGCGGCCUGCUGGACCGUAACUGACGUUGAGGCUCGAAAGCGUGGGGAGCAAACAGGAUUAGAUACCCCGGUAGUC
rnacentral:rRNA from 1 species